rnacentral:rRNA from 1 species
UACAUGGGGGUGCAAACGUUUGCUCGGAAUUAUUGGGCGUAAAGCGCACGUAGGCGGUUCGUUAAGUCGGAUGUGAAAGCCCUCGGCUCAACUGAGGAAGUGCACCCGAAACUGGCGAGCUUGAGUACGAAAGAGGAUCGCGGAAUUCCCGGUGUAGAGGUGAAAUUCGUAGAUAUCGGGAGGAACACCGGUGGCGAAGGCGGCGAUCUGGGUCGAUACUGACGCUGAGGUGCGAAAGCGUGGGGAGCAAACAGG